rnacentral:lncRNA from 1 species
GUUGUUCUUUGAUUACAGGAAUGUUUCACAUUCAGUGUUGUUUCUUUGAUUACAGGAAUGUUUCACAUUCAGUGUUGUUCUUUGAUUACAGGAAUGUUUCACAUUCAGUGUUGUUCUUUGAUUACAGGAAUGUUUCACAUUCAGUGUUGUUCUUUGAUUACAGGAAUGUUUCACAUUCAGUGUUGUUCUGUUGAUUACAGGAAUGUUUCACAUUCAGUGUUGUUCUUUGAUUACAGGUAUGUUUCACAUUCAGUGUUGUUCUUUGAUUAAGAUAUGUUUCACAUUAAGUGUUGUGCUUUGAUUACAGGUAUGUUUUACAUUUAGUGUUGUGUAAACAUUGUUAUUUUUUAAGUAUCUUAUAGUUGGGUGUUUUAUUUUGUUUAUGCAUGUUCUUACUGUCAUGUUUUGAAGUGACUUUUAGUCAUGUGUUUUAUUCUGCUUAUGUUCUUACUGUCAUGUUUUGAAGUGACUUUUAGUCAUGUGUUUUAUUCUGCUUAUGUUCUUACUGUCAUGUUUUGAAGUGACUUUUAGUCAUGUGUUUUAUUCUGCUUAUGUUCUUACUGUCAUGUUUUGAUGUGUUUUAUUCUGCUUAUGUUCUUAGUUGUGAAUUAUAGUUGUGUGUUUUAUUUGGUUACUGUUCUAUCUAUCAAGUUUUGAAGUGACUAACAGGAGUGUUUUGUUGUUUAAGUUCUUGCUCUUGUGUUUUGAAGUGACUAACAGGUGUGUUUUGUUGUUUAAGUUCUUGCUCUUGUGUUUUGAAGUGACUAACAGGUGUGUUUUGUUGUUUAAGUUCUUGCUCUUGUGUUUUGAAGUGACUUAUAGUUGUGUGAUUAUUCUGUUAAAAUUCUUACUGUCAUGUUUUGAAGUGACUUAUAGUUGUGUUUAAGUUAUUUAAAGUACGUGUUUUAUACUGUUUGUGUUCAACUGUCAGGUUUUGAAGUAACAUGCAAUUGUAUUUUAUUCUAUUAGUGUUUUAUACUGUUUAUGUUCA